GCUGUUAUCAUUCCGAUCUAGAAUAAACACCCUCAUUGUGACAUUGCUGCUGAGAGGGGGAGACCCCCCAUCCUGGGCCUUCACUUGCAGCUGAAACUCUCUGAAUUGUUCAUAGUCAAAGGAUCGCUGGGCAUAGAUGACACCAGUCUCAGAGUUAAUAGAAAUAGUGAAGUACUGAUUGGAGCUAAGCUGGUAAUUCUGGAGAGAAUUCAGCCCAGUAUCAGGAUCUUCUGCUUUUCCAAGGAGGAAUCUGGUUCCUGAACAUGGCAGUUUUCUUUUCCUUUUUUCAGCAAGUUUGCUCCGUCCUUGCUUUCUGUUCUUUGUCCGUUCUGUACCGCACUGAAGAUGCAAUCACCCUGUAAGGAGCAUCAGUGGAUUUCCAUCUCCCUGGCUACCAUGUUGGCUAACAGUGACACUCUGAGGCUCAAAAGAGAAAUGCAAGUGAUUCUUUCAUUUAAGAUUAUGAAUAGUUUGAUGUGGUUGUAUGCUGUCGUGUGUAAUCAAAUGUGUUAAGAAAAUAAAUGAUUUAACAUCA